AUCUAUAUAGUAUAUAAGUAUAUUUGACUUCCAAUCAUAAGGUCUACUAAUUAGUAGUAU
rnacentral:tRNA from 1 species